ensembl:lncRNA
GUAUAUUAUUUUCUUUAUUCAAAAGAUGUGACUCAUUAUUGUGUCCUAUUUCUUUCCUUUCUCUUUAUUUACCGCCCCCCCCCCCUUAUUCUGGAAUGAAGAAUGAGUAGAACCCGGACAGGGAAGAGGAUAAACGGCACCAUUAAAUCACAAAGUUAAAUGCACUCCUAAUCGUCAUGUGUGACUGAGUGACAUUCUCACAUCUCGUCUCAGACUGAAUGUUUAACUUUUCCCUCCGUCUCUCUCUGUCUCUCUCUCUCUCUCUCAGACUGAUUUAUACACACAACAUGUUGCACAAUGGGAGCCUUGUUUGCUAAAUGGGAUAGCCUUAAUGGAGACUUAUAUUUCCAGGAUUAUAUCUGUAUUCAGUUGCAAAUUAUUUGGAGGGAGGGGGAGGGCGAGGAGGGGGGCAGGGGGGGCCCGUUUCAAUACUCUUCCUCUGUCUAUGAAUAAUAGUAUCAUUUGAAUUAAGUGGACACCUGGUGCAGUGGGUGAGGCUCUGAGGCGCGCUGUUGACCCGCCGCCACUGCCAACUUCCCUUUUUCCCAGCCUGUCCUUAUCCGCUGCUCCGAGCCUCCGAUUUCAUUCUCCCUCGCUCAAAAUGCCGCACACUUGUAACUUUAUUCUCCCUUCGGCCAAAAAAACAAAACAAAAAAAAAACCUUUGCUUUUCCUGAAAGGGCAAAGGGGCGAAGAGGAGGGAGAGAAAAAAGAAGAAGAAGAAGAAGAAGAAGAAAAAAACUUUAAGACAGGGAGAGAAAUUCUUAUCAAUCUCCUCUUAGAUUUGAGGGCAGAGUCAGUUGAAAGCGCGGUGUAACGUUUCAGGGAAAACUUCCAAUUAAAUACUGUAAAGAAAAAAGAAAAGAUAGAAUAAGUAUCCCUGUUAAAGCCCCCUUUUGUUGAUUUAUUGUACAUUAGCCACUGAGCCGUGCGGGCAAGGGGACAUUUCAGAGCCGCUUCUAUUUGUAUGCAUCCUGCGUCGGCUGCACACACAAUCAGGCCUGUAUUGCGUUUUGCAAAUUUAUACCAGGAUGUAGGUUUAGAGUGUCCCCCCCUCCCUCUCCCUCUCCCCCCCUGCUCCCCUCCCCUGAAAGAAAAAGAAAGUUUUUCAAGUAAGUGUCUGCUUUCAUGAGCACAAGUGAUUGAGGCUGACAAACAAAGCGUUGUUUCUGAACUCACAGAUGUACGGCCCCCGCCGCCGCUUUGUCCUGCGCCCCCCCACGAGCAUUCAUGCAUUUUCUGCUACAGCACAACAUUGGAUUGUUUGGAAAUACCUACUCAUACUCUUAAGAGUGGACAUCCAAUAAUAACCAGAAGCUUUCCCAGGGCUGCAUUCUUCACCCACGGAAAGAAGCCUUUUCAAUCCGGAUAUCUGGAUUCUACCUGCUCGUGUUUUGAGACGCUUGUUUGCACAAUGUUUUGCCAUCAUGGUGGUGGAGAGAAAACGUCUCCUCCACACUUCACAAGUUUUUGUUCAAAAAGAAACAAUCUUAUAUCUCCGAACUGCUUGUGACACAAAUGCAUCACAGGAUCCUUUUUUUUCCCUCUCAGAAUCAAGUCAUGACCCCACCGGCCUCCAUCCUGUGGCCCUUUGGAGGCCCGUGACCCUCGGGUUGGUGAAUAAUGGACACAAGUUAACCCGUAGUUAACAUGUUUUAACCACACAGAACUACUUCAGCAGCUGUAGGCAACAGAACGUUCACCUCGGGAUCUUUGUCAUGUGCUGUGCAGACACACACACACACACACACACUGAGGAGAUAGAGGAGGAAGGUCGUGUUAGAGUAAGAUGACAGAGGAACAAUUAUCCCUCUAAUUCUCCCGUCGAUGCAGUUAUGUCCGGUGUGGUCGAUGGACAUGCAGUUGUUAUCCCUGAUCGAUGCUGAGACACUUCAUAACACAUCUGAGCGGGACGGCGGCUGAUGUCCCGCCCGACGCCUCCUGAUCCCCAUUUAGCUGUGAUUGCAGGCGUUGACGUGGAUCUGCUGGGCGAGUUAUGGAUUAGCUACUUCGGCCCUGAAGUGAUGAUGUGAUUAAAUCAAUGAUCAUCUCUCCUUUGAUUCCGUCUCGUUUGGUCGCACCGCUGAACAGAGACGGAUGUCUCUGUUCAGCAGGGGGACAAAUGGCACAAGUUGCCCUUUAAAAGGCUUUUUCACUGACUGGAUAUUAAAGGGGAAAAAUGGUUGACAUCUUAAGUGUGGUGUAACGUCUUACCUCGUGUGAGUGUGGCAGACUUCAGCCGCACCUCAUUGCAUUCAUCAGGAAAUCGCUAAAUUUCUAAAGGAUUUAUUUGUUUUUCUCUCUAAUGAUGUUUUGAUGUGUUUAAAGAUUUUCAUAAUUUUAGUUUAGAUUCAGAUUUGAGUGAAAAUAGCUUGUAAAAUCUGCUGCAUGGUGUCCAAUAUGUGUCUUAUAAGGCCACUCCAUAUAAUGUACCUUUUAAAUCUACCUUCUAAAAACAAGACAUUUCACACAGUCAGCACCGUAACUUCCUUCUCUUGACUAAAUCUUUAUCAUUUUUGUGGUUUUACACUCACAAAAGCUUCUCCAGCUACCCGUGACAGUGGCUGAGCGCCGCUGCAGCGCAGCCCCGCUUGUGUCUAGACAACAGGAAAUGCAAGUUUGCAUUUGUUUACAGCCUCGCGGAGCCGAGCGCUUCAGUGGUCGUUUCAAAGUGCGGCGGCCGGGCGAUCGGGCCGGAUGUGAGAGUGAGGGUUUGUCUGCGGGCCCAGGACGCAAUGUCCCGACUGCUGUGGAGCAGAUUGGACUCAUGGCAUUCGUUCUCUCUCUCUUCGCCUCCCCUUCACGCAUUCGGUUGACGCACACUGAUCCAUUUUGUGCGUCCUCGGCUGCAGGACAGCAAGAGAGUGAGUCAGGUAGAAACCGAAACAAUUCAGGCCGCAGUUGUCUCUCCUUCUCAUUCCUCUGUAAACACCAGGCCCCGUCCAAACGCGCCUACGGCCGCGGGACCAGACAUAAUACAAACAGCACCCCGUCGACAGGUCUCGUCAGCUGUCUGGCCGUGUGUCCGUCCAGCUAUUGAUUACCCUUCAGCGGGAGGCCAUAAAUGACCCGUGAACUUCUGGCUGAAAAUCAUAUUCUCAAAACCUGACCUGUCACUAGAGGUUAGUCAAAUAAACCGCGGGAGGCUUAUGGAGCAUGACGUGGCAGUUACCCGUGACAUGCAGCUCCCGCGACCGCAUAUCUGUUGCGUCAUUAAUACGCGGGAUGCCCGGUCACCGAAAAACAAGCCAUAACACACCACUUAGAGAGGGAACGCGCCAAAUCCGAUCUUUUAAAAGAGAACGUAUCAGAGCGGAGGGUAAAAAAAGUAGUACUUGCUAUUUCAAUUCAAAUGGCUUUGAUGCCAAGAGAUUUAUUCACGAGGAGACGGGCAAAUGCGUCAACCAGCACACAUAGGUCAUCUUUCUUUCUGCUGAGAAGUCUAACUAUGGGUAUGUUAACUAUUCACAUGCAAAAAUCGAAUCUCGCUGUUGAAUUUAUUGUUGGUAAUUUCAACUGUGGCCAGAAAACGCUGUUUUGGCUGUCGAUGAGUACAAGCAGAUGCUGAAGCGUUGCUGAUUAAACCACCGAGAGAAAUCCGCUCCUACGCGUCAGAAGUGCAACACGUCGACGUGUAAAAUAGAAAACAAUCUUACCUGCAACUUUGAAAAUCCGAUCUUGGCAUUUCCGGGGUGAGCGGAAAAGAAACCAGCGUUUGAAGGGCAAGCUGUGGUAGUGGGCCUGAACCAUAAUGAGGAACCAGCAGCAGGCAGACUGUAACCCUGGGAACGUGUGCCAUCCUGCAUGAUAAAUAUCAGUGAUUUGCUCCAGGCUCCAGACUGUUACUCACAGGAAGUCACUGUUUGAGUGGGUUUACACAGAUGGAGACCAUUCUUAGUCAACAUUCACAUAAAAAUCAGCCCGGGUCCUUUUAAUUUCUGGUUUUUCCCCCCUUCUUCUGGUUGGCCUCCUUUUCAUUGUGUGUAGACAGUGGCGGAGACUUUGCUGUUUUACUGGGCGGGAGAUGAGCCCUUUAUGUGUUUAAGAGCUCUAAACUUCACAAGGAUCCGUAGAUUCUCACAGUCACCAGUAAAGACCACCUCGUCAUUCACGUUUUUCACAAAAGGCAAACCAUUUUUUUUUUUUAACACGUCUGGGAGUUACAAUAGUUUAAGUCCAGUAUGGCGUAAACAGACAACUGGUUUCACUGCUUUUUUCAGCGUGAUCCCAACGAAGAAAACAACUGAACCACAAGGCUUCCCUCUGUCUGCGACGUGAAUAGUUUUCUCUCCAGCCUUUAGGACAUAAGGUAAAACAAAUAGUUAUGUUAAGCUUUCUAUGGUACUUAAAGUACUUAUUUGAUGAAAUUCCACUGUUUUUUGUUCUUCUGGGUUUUUUCCUUGCGGUUAAAAGGCACUUACUCAAAGUCGCUUUGGAUAAAAGCGUCAGCUAAAUGACACGUAAUGUAAAGUAAUGUAAAGUCUUACAGAUUGUUUGACAGAGCUGACAUAAAAUGCUGUUCCUGUUAAUGCUCCAGUUGAAACAAAGAGCGACCUGUGGCUCGACUUGCUUUGUUAUUGAGACUUUCACUCUGAUCCGGGAACAUCUUUUCUUAUUCGAGACAUCUGUGCUGUGUAAUUGCGUCCCGGAUGAAAAAGCUGCGUCCUGCUGAUACAUUCAAGGUGAUCUCCUCUUUGUUUUAAUAAAUCUACCGCCUGAAAAAUCCCAUCUCUUUCAGCUAAGAUGCUCCGGGUCACAUCAGGCCGUGGUGUUUCUUUAAUGUAAAGACUGCAUUUCAUGUCCUUUUUUCCUCUGCAAGCCUCAGAUGUUUUAAUCGCUCGAAGGUUGUAAUUAACUACUGUUUUAUUGCAGCCGUUGUUGUAAUUGGCAUGCAAGUUUGUGGGAAGAAAUGAUUUUCCCCCUAAAAUGUACAGCUUUUUUUGUUUUUCCGCCGUUAGCUUGCACAAAGUCAACAAAGCCACAAGCACAAUACUGUGGAGCUCUUACGUGUAAGAGAAACAGCAGCCGCGGGUGAGUUUGGAUCUGCGUCCCUGCUUGUUUCACGCUGACCUAAAUGGAGACAUUAUGUCAACACCUUCACAACUCAUUUUCUCAAAAACAAAACAAAAAGUUACCCGCAGCAAACAUUCUCCUCCUUCUUGCCUGUGCAAAAUAUCCCGCCACGAUCACGAUAUUGUCCCAUACUUUUAGAAAUAUGUUUAACUUUCCUCUAUUUCUUUUCACCUGAGCCCAUUUCCCCCCAGAUCGCAGUCCGCCGGGAUCAUCAGCUUCCUCAUUUACGGCUCGAAGGCGAUGCCAAACGUCAUGUGAAACCAUGAAGGACGGGAGGCAAUAAGUCGGGAGAAUAGCAGCAAUCUUGGGGAAAGUUCUCCAUUCACUCUCACUCCCGUAUAGUUCUCGGUCCCCUUAUCCAGCUUUGAAGAUAAAGAAGAAAAAAAAUCAAUACAGAAACAGUGUGAGAUAAAAGCGCAAAGGGGGGAGAGAGCCGAGCCGAGUUGGGUGCAGUGAAUUAAAGCGAUGAGAAAUUUCCCGGCCGCUCGGUUCCUCCGUCUACAUACGCUAGCAGGCCUGUCUCGCUGUGUCCAUCACUCUCGGCGCUCUCUUCAAUCCCUCUUUGUUCACUUUUGAUUUCUUUUUGGUCUAUUCCCAGUUGGCUUUGUGUUUUGGGAUGAAGGACCGGCUCCCCAUUCAGCUGCAAUAACUGCUGAGUGAAGGUUUUGGAUAUUGGGAGGGAGCUUCCGUGUUGCCGUUGACAAUGGCUGGUCGGUCCGGAGGGGCGCGAGGACGGACCGGAGCGAUCGCUCUCUUGGUUUUUUUAGGCGUGUGCCUCUGAGGCGCAGUGACGAGCACGGUGACAUUUUAGUGUUUAAGCAAACUGUCCUCGACACCUCCUGGGUAGAUCCGGGUAGAUCAUUUGCAGACAUGCAUGGUCGCCAGAGGAUGAAUUCAUCUCACCUUGAUGAUACUCUGACUUUCACCCUCCUCAUUACUUUGACUGAAAAAACCUAUGGCUGUUUGGAGGAUGGAGACAAAAUCCAAAUCCCAUCGUACUGCAUUUUAAAGUGAAUUUGAACAUGUGAAGAAACAGUCACCUCACUUUAAUACUGACGCCUCCGAUCUGCACAUAGAAGCCAUCAUCAUCAUCAUCAUCAUCAUUCUGCACGAGACCAUCAUCCUUUAAACCCGUUCAGCUCAGACUCCAGCGGGGGCCUCCAGCAGCAACCGGCCCACCGGGGACGGACCUGAGAUCCGCCUCACUGCAGCCUCCAGUCCGCCGCAGCGUCUCUCCCUCUGGUCGCCUGCUGGGCCGCCCUGCUGGAGGGGGAAUGAGGCGCCGCAGCAGCUGCUUGUUGUAGGUCGUGGCCUCUUUGGUCCUUGGCCUCCUCACGUACCAGAUCACACCGACACGACGAGCUGAAACAGGCGUCGGGGUCGCGUGUGAUGCUCUGCAGGACGUGUUUCAAAAGGGGGUUGAGGUCAUAUUUCACCGUUUCAGGGGCGGAGGCCCUCAUGUAUUAAUUAAAAUCCAAAUACCCUGUAUUGAUUGUGUUAUCGGGCCAGUGCAGCCUGAGCGCGGCAUAUUGAUCCUGUCUGUGAUUUAUGAUCAUUUUUGAGAAAACAAUCCUUUUGUGUGAUUACAUAAGGAGACAGAGGCUGAGUGAGUGUAAUUCUUUCAGAUCUAGUAGGUUGCACAGACUGCCAGCCUGGAGCCCUCCAGCAGACAAAACAAUUGUUAUGAUUCACUUGGUUUCAUUUAAUCGUGAAUCAAACGAGGCAGCGGCUCCACGCGGUUAUGUUCACUCACUUUUUACUGAUGGAUACUUCUAAUCAGAGGAUUUGUUAUAUUUUUCAGUUGCAUUGUUAUGUGUUGGACGCUGUUACGUUGUUAUUGGUUAGUUUUAGGCAACACAAAUAAAACAAAAGAACUGUUCCCACACAGCGUUGUGCCUUUGUGCAAGCGUAACACAGAGCUGUAUCCACGAAACAUGUUUCUGGGUCCGUAACGGCAGGAACUGAACGUACCUGCGGUCUGCAGAAACGUGUU